UUGAAAAUGAUUAAAAAAGUUUAUUUCUACUUCCAAGCAUUUUUAUUCUCGGGAUCUAGAAAUUUUUUGGUUCUACUUUUAAUUUAUUUUUGGUUGUAAUCCUCCUGUUAGGCAACAUGCCGGAGAUGGUAAAGCUAAUUUCCUAAUCACGGAAAUCAAAUUGAGUGGCUCUGGCAAAGAAAAUUGAAUGCAUGUAUGUUAGGCCGAUAAAC
rnacentral:lncRNA from 1 species